GGCGUGUAGGCGGUUAGGCAAGUCAGGUGUGAAAUCCCUUGGCUCAACCAAGGAAGUGCGCUUGAAACUGCUUAACUCGAGUACAGGAGGGGAAAGUGGAAUUCCCAGUGUAGAGGUGAAAUUCAUAGAUAUUGGGAGGAACACCGGUAGCGAAGGCGGCUUUCUGGCCUGAUACUGACGCUGAGACGCGAAAGCGUGGGGAGCAAACA
rnacentral:rRNA from 1 species